rnacentral:rRNA from 1 species
CCCUUAGAUGUUCUGGGCCGCACGCGCGCUACACUGAUGCAUUCAACGAGUGUACCUUGGCCGAGAGGCCUGGGCAAUCUUUUGAACGUGCAUCGUGAUAGGGAUAGAUUAUUGCAAUUAUUAAUCUUGAACGAGGAAUUCCUAGUAAACGCAGAUCAUCAAUCUGCAUUGAUUACGUCCCUGCCCUUUGUACACACCGCCCGUCGCACCUACCGAUUGGGUGGUCCGGUGAAGCCUCGGGAUUGUGGCGGUUGCCUUUAUUGGUGGCCGCCGCGAGAACUUGUCUAAACCUUAUCAUCUAGAGGAAGGUGAAGUCGUAACA